rnacentral:rRNA from 1 species
CGGACGGGUGAGUAAUGUCUGGGAAACUGCCCGAUGGAGGGGGAUAACUACUGGAAACGGUAGCUAAUACCGCAUAACGCCGCAAGACCAAAGAGGGGACCUUCGGGCCUCUUGCCAUCGGAUGUGCCCAGAUGGGAUUAGCUAGUAGGUGGGGUAACGGCUCACCUAGGCGACGAUCCCUAGCUGGUCUGAGAGGAUGAUCAGCCACACUGGGACUGAGACACGGCCCAG